ensembl:lncRNA
AGCUCAUCCAUGUCCAAACAUCUCAUAAGAUGCGUAACCUAUGCAAAUGUUAGCCCGUAAUCACUCUUCAACUGGUCGGUAAAUAAGUAAAACUAUUGAGUUUUCAGUGCAGGGGAUCCAGCAGCAAACCUUCAAAUCUAAUAAAGCUAAGAUCCAGUAUCACAAGACGAAUGUUGAUUUUGAGUUGCUCUCCAAACCUGGCUGCAGCACAUGCAAACUCAUCCCCAUUGUCCUAACCAUGCAGUCUUAGCUGACCUGAAGGCCACAGUACUUAGAGGAGAGCCAGAGAGAGAUGACAGGGAAAGGAGAGAAGCAAGCAGGUUUACACCUAGAUCUGCCCAGCCAAGCAGUGUGGUGGCGAUAUUAACGUCUGCCAUACGAAGAGAACUUGUUCAAUAGGGGAGGAAAAUCAUGUGGGAAUGGGGGUGGGGGGGUCUGAAGGUGUUUAAAAAAAAAAAAAGGAACGUUUCAAAAGUACUCUUGUCCUGGAAGACAUUUACUAGUUUGUAGUUUUCCCUUUUUUGUCUGUGAAGUGCAAAGCAUUCCAAUGAGAUUUUAUGCAGGGUUUAAUUGUUGUGUUGGCUUUUCUCUUGAACCAGUAGGGUGUCUGUCUUUUUUCUUUUACAUUUCUUUUCUUUUUUUUUUAAUGUGAACAGUCACCAAUCAAGAUUAAAUAAACCGCUCCAGUUUUUUUAUUUAAUUGUAUUC